rnacentral:lncRNA from 1 species
AUGCGACAUGGACCCAAAUUAAUGUCAUAUGAGCCUGGCAGUAGUGACGGUCCUAGAGAAUACACAAAGUGCGGCUGUGGCCUUUGGUUGAGAAGGGAAGGACUUCACGACGAGGUGGCAUCUGAGAGCACCUCGGGCUCGCUCCCUCCUACUCAGGAGAAGCUGAGGAAACGAGCUCGGCUCCCGGCUCCCGGCUCCCGGAGCCAGCGGCGACUGUGGAGACGCGGCCAGAAUCCUCAACUGCUUGGAAAUCCAUCACCUUGGUUCCCUGAGACUUGGAGGCUGGUGCCAGAGAAGAAUACUUUCCCUGGCAAGCCGUUACAUUUCUGGGACAAUCUCAGGUGCGUCUUUUGUUCUGACUCUGCCUGUUUCCUUGCACCGGGAGGAGACGUGUAUUUUGCUUGUGGCAGGCGUUCCAAGUGCAGCUGGCCUGGCAUCCUGGCCUUGGGCUGCCCACUACAACUCUGGAUUUCUUCAAACUUGUUUGGGAAGGGCAGGAGAGCAAACCUCCAGCCCCUGGCCCAUUCUAACUGGAGGCUGCACUCUUCUCUGGACCUGUGGGCUCCCUGUACCCCUCUCUAGGCCAAGGCAGUCAUCUCUGCCCUUGCUCCUGCAGGAGAGUUGAGCAUCAGACCUCCUGGAGGUAAUGAUGAGACAGCCUGGUGGGAGCCUGAGGCAGGGUUGAUAGCCAAAUAAGAAGUGGGACUGGAACAAGGAGUGGAGAGCUUGUCACAGAUUUUCUCCAAGUGUGCACAGGAAGCACCCCCUAUUGAAUAUCUGGGAGUGGAGCCUGGAAUCUUCUUUUUAACCAGCUCUGCGUGUGAUUCCUAUGAACACAGAAGGUGGGGAACCCAUCAGGCACCUUGGCCUCCCACUGUCAGACUCCUCCAGCCCAGAAGACUCACGUUUAGUGAUGCAUCUUUAGAAACUGACAUUUGUUGAAUUCCUAAGUGGCAAGUGUAUUAGGAUCUUUUUAAAUCCUCACAAUCAUCUUCUGUAAAGUAGAUAUUAACCCUAAGAUGAGGCUCAGAGGAACGGCUGCCAGAGGGUUGGUGACUUGGAGGAGACACAGCCCCUUUCUUUGAGGCACAGCCU